CCUACGGGUGGCAGCAGUGAGGAAUAUUGGUAAAUGGACGAGAGUCUGAACCAGCCAAGUAGCGUGAAGGAUGACUGCCCUAUGGGUUGUAAACUUCUUUUAUAUGGGAAUAAAACGUUCCACGUGUGGGAUUUUGUAUGUACCAUAUGAAUAAGGAUCGGCUAACUCCGUGCCAGCAGCCGCGGUAAUACGGAGGAUCCGAGCGUUAUCCGGAUUUAUUGGGUUUAAAGGGAGAGUAGGUGGAUUGUUAAGUAAGUUGUGAAAGUUUGCGGCUCAACCGGAAAAUUGCAGUUGAAACUGGCAGUCUUGAGUACAGUAGAGGUGGGCGGAAUGCGUGGUGUAGCGGUGAAAUGCUUAGAUAUCACGAAGAACUCCGAUUGCGAAGGCAGUUCACUGGACUGCAACUGACACUGAGGCUCGAAAGUGUGGGUAUCAAACAGGAUUAGAUACCCCUGUAGUC
rnacentral:rRNA from 1 species